rnacentral:rRNA from 1 species
UACGAAGGGGGCUAGCGUUGCUCGGAAUCACUGGGCGUAAAGCGCACGUAGGCGGGUCCUUAAGUCAGGGGUGAAAUCCUGGAGCUCAACUCCAGAACUGCCCUUGAUACUGAGGAUCUCGAGUUCGGGAGAGGUGAGUGGAACUGCGAGUGUAGAGGGUGAAAUUCGUAGAUAUUCGCAAGAACACCGACGGCGUAGGCAGCGCCCGUGGCCGUUUCCUGACGCUGAAGCACGAAAGCUGGGGGAGCAAACAGG